rnacentral:rRNA from 1 species
GACGAACCGUGCGAACGUUAUUCGGAUCACUGGGCUUAAAGGGCGCGUAGGCGGGCCACCAAGUCAGGGGUGAAAUCCCACGGCUCAACCGUGGAAGUGCCCUUGAUACUGGUGGCCUCGAGGGAGGUAGGGGCGUGCGGAACUGUGAGUGGAGCGGUGAAAUGCGUUGAUAUCGUUUGGAACGCCAAAGGUGAAAACAGACAGCUGGGAGUGUGCUGACGCUGAGACACGAAAGCCAGGGGAGCGAACGGG